CAUGUGGUUUAAUUCGAAGCAACGCGAAGAACCUUACCAAGUCUUGACAUCCCGGUGACCGGACAGUAAUGUGUCCUUUCUUCGGGAACACCGGUGACAGGUGGUGCAUGGUUGUCGUCAGCUCGUGUCGUGAGAUGUUGGGUUAAGUCCCGCAACGAGCGCAACCCUUAUCCCCAGUAGCCAGCGGUCCGGCCGGGCACUCUGAGGAGACUGCCAGGGAUAACCUGGAGGAAGGUGGGGAUGACGUCAAAUCAUCAUGCCCCUUAUGACUUGGGCUACACACGUGCUACAAUGGCGUAAACAAAGGGAAGCGAGACCGUGAGGUGGAGCAAAUCCCAAAAAUAACGUCUCAGUUCGGACUGUAGUCUGCAACCCGACUACACGAAGCUGGAAUCGCUAGUAAUCGCAGAUCAGAAUGCUGCGGUGAAUACGUUCCCGGGUCUUGUACACACCGCCCGUCACACCAUGGGAGUUGGAAAUGCCCGAAGUCAGUGACCCAACCGCAAGGAGGGAGCUGCCGAAGGCAGG
rnacentral:rRNA from 1 species